rnacentral:rRNA from 1 species
CGGCGGAAGGGUGCGUAACGCGUGAGCAACUUGCCCGUGACAGGAGGAUAACCGCUGGAAACGGCGCCUAAUACUCCAUAACAUUAUUUUCGCAUGGGGAAUAAUUGAAAGUUACGAUGGUCACGGAUGGGCUCGCGUGGCAUUAGCUAGUCGGUGAGGUAACGGCUCACCGAGGCGACGAUGCCUAGGGGUUCUGAGAGGAAGGUCCCCCACACUGGAACUGAGACACGGUCCAGACUCCUACGGGAGGCAGCAGUGAGGAAUAUUGGUCAAUGGGCGCGAGCCUGAACCAGCCAUGCCGCGUGAAGGAAUAAGGCCCUAUGGGUCGCAGACUUCUUUUGUGGUGGAGCAAUAAGGACUACGUGUAGUCUGAUGAGAGUACAUCACGAAUAAGCAUCGGCUAACUCCGUGCCAGCAGCCGCGGUAAUACGGAGGAUGCAAGCGUUAUCCGGAUUUAUUGGGUUUAAAGGGUGCGUAGGCGGAGCGUGCAAGUCAGCGGUGAAAUACCAUUGCUCAACAAUGGGGCUGCCGUUGAUACUGCCGUUCUGGAAUGCGCGUGCCGCGGGAGGAAUGUGUGGUGUAGCGGUGAAAUGCAUAGAUAUCACACAGAACACCGAUUGCGAAGGCAUCUCGCGAACGCGUGAUUGACGCUGAGGCACGAAAGCGUGGGGAUCGAACAGGAUUAGAUACCCUGGUAGUCCACGCAGUAAACGAUGAUGGCUAACCGCUGGGUUCAUGGAUUCAGUGGCUAAGUGAAAGCGAUAAGCCAUCCACCUGGGGAGUACGACCGCAAGGUUGAAACUCAAAGGAAUUGACGGGGGCCCGCACAAGCGGAGGAACAUGUGGUUUAAUUCGAUGAUACGCGAGGAACCUUACCCGGGCUCGAACGGCUAGUGAACGAUACAGAGAUGUAGAGUCUC